CGCUGCAUUUGGUUCCACCUGUCCUAAGUGUAGUUCAGUGGUUGUCGUUUGUUGAUGUGCUUCAUAAGUGUUUCUCGUUUCUCGUUUUACAGAAAUUAGAUCGUUGUUUUUCCUAUUUGAAUGGUUUUACACAUUUUUAAGCCAUUUAUAGAUUGCUGUUCGAUGUGAGUCAAGGAUCAGUGUUGGGGGCAGUACUUUGACCUAUGAUUGUUUACUUUUUACACAGUGUGACUUGGAAGAAGAGUUGUCUCAUCGGUAUUCAUACUCAAAUUAAGUGGAUGUAAGCAGUUAUAGGCAAUCGUACGACUUUAUAAAACAACAACAACAACAAAACAUACCGUAUCGACUAUAAAAGGACCGA
rnacentral:lncRNA from 1 species